CCAGAGAGGUUGUGGACAACCAACAGUCAAGUCCCACUUAAAAGAGAAAACAAAGCCCUGUUUGUUGAGACAGACGGUUCAACCCAGCCCUGUGAGACAGACGGUUCCACCCAGCCCUGUGAGACAGACGGUUCCACCCAGCCCUUUGAGACAGACGGUUCCACCCAGCCCUGUGAGACAGACGGUUCCACCCAGCCCUGUGAGACAGACGGUUCCACCCAGCCCUGUGAGACAGACGGUUCAACCCAGCCCUGUGAGUUGAGACAGACGGUUCCACCCAGCCCUGUGAGUUGAGACAGACGGUUCAACCCAGCCCUUUGAGACAGACGGUUCCACCCAGCCCUGUGAGUUGAGACAGACGGUUCCACCCAGCCCUGUGAGUUGAGACAGACGGUUCCACCCAGCCCUGUGAGUUGAGACAGACGGUUCGACCCAGCCCUGUGAGUUGAGACAGACGGUUCAACCCAGCCCUGUGAGUUGAGACAGACGGUCCAACCCAGCCCUUUGAGACAGACGGUUCAACCCAGCCCUGUGAGUUGAGACAGACGGUUCCACCCAGCCCUGUGAGUUGAGACAGACGGUUCAACCCAGCCCUGUGAGUUGAGACAGACGGUUCAACCCAGCCCUGUGAGUUGAGACAGACGGUUCA